rnacentral:rRNA from 1 species
UACAGAGGUCCCAAGCGUUGUUCGGAUUCACUGGGCGUAAAGGGUGCGUAGGUGGCCAGGUAAGUUCGGUGUGAAAGCUCGGAGCUCAACUCCGAAAUGUCAUUGAAUACUAUCUGGCUGGAGGGUCGGAGGGGAGACUGGAAUUCUCGGUGUAGCAGUGAAAUGCGUAGAUAUCGAGAGGAACACCAGUGGCGAAGGCGGCAUCCUGGACCAUUACUGACGCUGAGGCGCGAAAGCUAGGGGAGCAAACGGG